UAGGGAAUCUUCGGCAAUGGACGGAAGUCUGACCGAGCAACGCCGCGUGAGUGAAGAAGGUUUUCGGAUCGUAAAGCUCUGUUGUAAGAGAAGAACGAGUGUGAGAGUGGAAAGUUCACACUGUGACGGUAUCUUACCAGAAAGGGACGGCUAACUAUACGUGCCAGCAGCCGGNNUAAUNAUNCNAGGNGGGCGGUUAUGNGGAGACGGNCGGGGGGAGCNGNAANGUUAGAAAGUCUGAAGUAAAGGGCGGGGGCUUACCCAUAGUACGCUUGGGAAAACUGUUUUAACUUGAGUGCAAGAGGGGAGAGUGGAAUUCCAUGUGUAGCGGUGAAAUGCGUAAAUUUAUGGAGGAACACCAGUGGCGAAGGCGACUCUCUGGUCUGUAACUGACGCUGAGGCUCGAAAGCGUGGGUAGCAAACAGGAUUAGAUACCCUGGUAGUCCACGCCGUAAACGAUGAGUGCUAAGUGUUGGAGGGUUUCCGCCCUUCAGUGCUGCAGUUAACGCAUUAAGCACUCCGCCUGGGGAGUACGACCGCAAGGUUG
rnacentral:rRNA from 1 species